UUUUGAUAGUGGGUUUUAAGAUUGGUUUUGAUUGAUAAUAACUUCUAAAUAUUUAAAGUCACCUUUAUUAGACAUUGGUGACAUUUAAAAACUUAAUUUGAUUUUUUUAUUUGAUAUUUAGAGCAUAAAUUAUGUAAAUCUUAUAAGAAAAAGGAUUGAAGAAGGGUUUUUGGUAGCAAAGGGAGUAAUUAGGGCACCAAUAUAGAUGAAUGG
rnacentral:lncRNA from 1 species